rnacentral:rRNA from 1 species
AUCCUGUCUCACAACGAACGCUGGCGGCGUGGAUUACACAUGCUCCUCCAACUACUUUAUUUUGGUAGCAAUACCUACCGAAGCUACUGGCUAACGGGUGCGUAACACAUGAGUCAUCUGCGCACAAGUGGGGAAUAGCUCCGCGAAAGCCGGAUUAAUACCGCAUGUGGUCGUAAUACCAAAGCCGGGGCAACCUGGCGCUUUUGGAGGAGCUCGUGGCCUAUCACCUAUUUGGCGAGGUAACGGCUUACCAACGCAACUACAGGAAGCUGGUCUGACAGGACUACCACCCACACUGGAACUGAUAUACGGUCCAGACACCUACCGGUGGCACCAGUUUAUGAUUCUUCUCAUUGGGGGAAACCCUGAACGAUCCACGUCGCAUGAAGGAUUAAAUGCUUUCCGGUUGUAAGCUCCCUUUAUCUUGGGACACAGGCCAUACAUCUACUGACAUGGAUGAUUUGAGAUA